rnacentral:tRNA from 1 species
UAGCUGAAUGGUAAAGCACUUAGCUUCUAAAUCAAGAGGUCCCAGGUUCAAAUCCUGA